GAUGAACGCUGGCGGCGUGCCUAAUACAUGCAAGUCGAGCGAACAGACGAGGAGCUUGCUCCUCUGACGUUAGCGGCGGACGGGUGAGUAACACGUGGAUAACCUACCUAUAAGACUGGGAUAACUUCGGGAAACCGGAGCUAAUACCGGAUAAUAUAUUGAACCGCAUGGUUCAAUAGUGAAAGACGGUUUUGCUGUCACUUAUAGAUGGAUCCGCGCCGCAUUAGCUAGUUGGUAAGGUAACGGCUUACCAAGGCAACGAUGCGUAGCCGACCUGAGAGGGUGAUCGGCCACACUGGAGCUGAGACACGGUCCAGACUCCUACGGGAGGCAGCAGUAGGGAAUCUGCCGCAAUGGGCGAAAGCCUGACGGAGCAACGCCGCGUGAGUGAUGAAGGUCUUCGGAUCGUAAAACUCUGUUAUUAGGGAAGAACAAAUGUGUAAGUAGCUAUGCACGUCUUGACGGUACCUAAUCAGAAAGCCACGGCUAACUACGUG
rnacentral:rRNA from 1 species